GGGGGGGACGUUAUCGGAUUUCUGGGCGUAAGCGCGCGUAGGCGGCUAAUUAAGUCAAAUGUGAAAUCCCCGAGCUUAACUUGGGAAUUGCAUUCGAUACUGGUUAGCUAGAGUGUGGGAGAGGAUGGUAGAAUUCCAGGUGUAGCGGUGAAAUGCGUAGAGAUCUGGAGGAAUACCGAUGGCGAAGGCAGCCAUCUGGCCUAACACUGACGCUGAGGUGCGAAAGCAUGGGGAGCAAACAGGAUUAGAUACCCUGGUAGUCCAUGCCGUAAACGAUGUCUACUAGCCGUUGGGGCCUUUGAGGCUUUAGUGGCGCAGCUAACGCGAUAAGUAGACCGCCUGGGGAGUACGGUCGCAAGACUAAAACUCAAAUGAAUUGACGGGGGCCCGCACAAGCGGUGGAGCAUGUGGUUUAAUUCGAUGCAACGCGAAGAACCUUACCUGGCCUUGACAUAGUAAGAACUUUCCAGAGAUGGAUUGGUGCCUUCGGGAACUUACAUACAGGUGCUGCAUGGCUGUCGUCAGCUCGUGUCGUGAGAUGUUGGGUUAAGUCCCGCAACGAGCGCAACCCUUUUCCUUAUUUGCCAGCGAGUAAUGUCGGGAACUUUAAGGAUACUGCCAGUGACAAACUGGAGGAAGGCGGGGACGACGUCAAGUCAUCAUGGCCCUUACGGCCAGGGCUACACACGUGCUACAAUGGUCGGUACAAAGGGUUGCUACCUAGCGAUAGGAUGCUAAUCUCAAAAAGCCGAUCGUAGUCCGGAUUGGAGUCUGCAACUCGACUCCAUGAAGUCGGAAUCGCUAGUAAUCGCGGAUCAGAAUGCCGCGGUGAAUACGUUCCCGGGCCUUGUACACACCGCCCGUCACACCAUGGGGAGUUUGUUGCACCAGAAGUAGCUAGCCUAACUGCAAAGAGGGCGGUUACCACGGUGUGGCCGAUGACUGGGGUGAAGCCUAAGGGGGGAACCCCUAUAAAACAAAAAAAAUUCCG
rnacentral:rRNA from 2 species